UACGUAGGGGGCAAGCGUUGUCCGGAAUCAUUGGGCGUAAAGAGCGUGUAGGCGGCUCGGUAAGUCCGCUCUGAAAGCCCGGGGCUCAACCCCGGGAGGCGGGCGGAUACUGUCGGGCUAGAGUCCGGAAGAGGCGAGUGGAAUUCCUGGUGUAGCGGUGAAAAUGCGCAGAUAUCAGGAGGAACACCGGUGGCGAAGGCGGGUCUCUGGGCCGAUACUGACGCUGAGGAGCGAAAGCGUGGGGAGCGAAACAGGG
rnacentral:rRNA from 1 species